rnacentral:misc_RNA from 1 species
UAAAAACAUUGUCAAAUACCAAAGAUACCCUAAAUGAUUAAAAUACCCAAAGUAACCAAAAUAAACUAUUUGCUAAAGUAUGUAGUCCUAAAAUCCUGACUGGGCAGUCCUACGUUAUGCGUAGAUAGCAAUAGCAUAAUGGAUAGCAAUCAGUGUUUAAAGAAGCUUUUCUCAUUAAUUUGUGAGUAUCAUCAAUUUAUUCAGCUUCUUUAUUCCUGUAGUUUAUUGAUGCUCCAAUCUAUCAUAUUUUGGGGGCUACCUUCUUAUUUUUAAGGUAGAUA